rnacentral:miRNA from 1 species
AUCAUAUCAGAUUUGCAUUAUU